UUCCCCUCCCCUCUCUCAAAGCAUCCGAGGCCAGGCCAUGUCUCAAGUCGCCGGACCGCCAUAAGGUUGCCUCUGACUACCGUCGUUGGCCACCGAGUGCGGUGGCCGAAACUCCGAAAGGUACUCUUUCUUUUAUUUUUUUGUAUUUUUUAUGUGUUUGUAAUAUAUGUAUACAUGCGAGUAAAUAGAUUCGAAAAUAGAAAAAAAAUAAAAAAAAUAAAAUAAAAUCACCUUAGGUUUUCGGGUUUGAUUUCUGGUAUUUUGAGUUCUUCCGAUUUGGUGCUUUUCUCCUGAUUUGUUAUUAUUUGCUUUGAAUCACUGUUUUUUUUAUUUAAUGUCUCUAAAAAAACCUACAAAGAUUGUAAGCAGGCCAAUUUGCCCGGCCCAUUGCAAACACAAAACAAAACAAAAUGAACAAAAAAAACAAAAAAAAAACAAUAAGUAUAAAACCCAAAUAAAAAUUUAGUGUCCUAUUACAGUCGAAAUCGUUACAAUAUUCCGUAGCCCAAAUACAAGGGCCCAAUAACUGGAACAGGCCCAAACGGCUCAAAAAUUGAGCCAAGUUUCGGCAAACCCAAAGUCACCCUCUUUCUCUUGCGCCGCAACAGCAACCGGACAGUAGCUCUAUGCCUCCGUACGCCCCAACGUUUCAGCCGCCACGCCACGCCCCCGUACACACACCAACGCACACCCGUACCUGCAAGAAGACAAACAGAGCAGUAGCCAAUACGAAAGCAAAGAAAAAAUUAUAUUUUUCUUUAUUUUUUGAUUAUUCGGCUAUAAAGCUGAUGAUUUUCGACUGUAAAUCUCUUUUUGGACACAAGCAAUACAAACGAACGCAUAUUAAGCACACGGAAAUACAAAAUACAAAAAAAUCAAGCCGAAAUUUUCGAGAGGUGAUUUCGAGUUCCAUUUUCCUUUUCUUUUUUUGAAUAGAUCCUCUUCUUCGAGGUUUGAAUGUGUUUUAGCAGAAGAAAAUAAGAAAAGGGAAGAGUUUACCUGAUUACAUCAUCGGUUCCGUCAUCGGGGUCCCUUGGGCAUGGAAACGGAACCAAAAAAGGGGGCUUUGGGUCUCGGCGGUGGCGGAGGCACAUUAUGUGCUGGUGAAACCCAAGAGUCGGCCCUAGGGGAUGAAAGUUGCAGCGCUGAAACCCUAAUGAUUGGGUAUUUGGCCUGCAACUGGGAAAAAUGGCAAAAUGCCAUUCAUUUUCUUUAAGUCUUAAGCAAAAGACGAAACGACACCGUUUCAAGGGGGGAGGGUCCGCGCGUCGACCGGCUCCAGGACCCGAACCCGUGCCUAUACGCAGCAAAUGGGUUAUUUACGAGCUGAGUCCCUCCUUUUUUUUCCGUGUAUAUUCAAUCACGCCUUGGCUGUUCUGUUUUGUUUUCUUAAAUUAGCUCAUUAAUUUGCAUGCGUUUGCACUUUAGUCCGCAGUACAGUAUUGCGUCUUGGGGGUCUGGAUCAUUUUCACAUUUAGUCCCUGCGCAUUCGCACUUGUUACAUGCUUCCCCCUUUGUCAUUUUGGCAUUU
rnacentral:lncRNA from 1 species